GGCGUGCCUAAUACAUGCAAGUCGAGCGGACAGAUGGGAGCUUGCUCCCUGAUGUUAGCGGCGGACGGGUGAGUAACACGUGGGUAACCUGCCUGUAAGACUGGGAUAACUCCGGGAAACCGGGGCUAAUACCGGAUGGUUGUNUGAACCGCAUGGUUCAAACAUAAAAGGUGGCUUCGGCUACCACUUACAGAUGGACCCGCGGCGCAUUANCUAGUUGGUGAGGUAACGGCUCACCAAGGCNACGAUGCGUANCCGACCUGAGAGGGUGAUCGGCCACACUGGGACUGAGACACGGCCCANACUCCUACGGGAGGCAGCAGUAGGGAAUCUUCCGCAAUGGACGAAAGUCUGACGGAGCAACGCCGCGUGAGUGAUGAAGGUUUUCGGAUCGUAAAGCUCUGUUGUUAGGGAAGAACAAGUGCCGUUCAAAUAGGGCGGCACCUUGACGGUACCUAACCAGAAAGCCACGGUUAACUACGUGCCAGCAGCCGCGGUAAUACGUAGGUGGCAAGCGUUGUCCGGAAUUAUUGGGCGUAAAGGGCUCGCAGGCGGUUUCUUAAGUCUGAUGUGAAAGCCCCCGGCUCAACCGGGGAGGGUCAUUGGAAACUGGGGAACUUGAGUGCAGAAGAGGAGAGUGGAAUUCCACGUGUAGCGGUGAAAUGCGUAGAGAUGUGGAGGAACACCAGUGGCGAAGGCGACUCUCUGGUCUGUAACUGACGCUGAGGAGCGAAAGCGUGGGGAGCGAACAGGAUUAGAUACCCUGGUAGUCCACGCCGUAAACGAUGAGUGCUAAGUGUUAGGGGGUUUCCGCCCCUUAGUGCUGCAGCUAACGCAUUAAGCACUCCGCCUGGGGAGUACGGUCGCAAGACUGAAACUCAAAGGAAUUGACGGGGGCCCGCACAAGCGGUGGAGCAUGUGGUUUAAUUCGAAGCAACGCGAAGAACCUUACCAGGUCUUGACAUCCUCUGACAAUCCUAGAAGAUAGGACGUCCCCUUCGGGGGCAGAGUGACAGGUGGUGCAUGGUUGUCGUCAGCUCGUGUCGUGAGAUGUUGGGUUAAGUCCCGCAACGAGCGCAACCCUUGAUCUUAGUUGCCAGCAUUCAGUUGGGCACUCUAAGGUGACUGCCGGUGACAAACCGGAGGAAGGUGGGGAUGACGUCAAAUCAUCAUGCCCCUUAUGACCUGGGCUACACACGUGCUACAAUGGACAGAACAAAGGGCAGCGAAACCGCGAGGUUAAGCCAAUCCCACAAAUCUGUUCUCAGUUCGGAUCGCAGUCUGCAACUCGACUGCGUGAAGCUGGAAUCGCUAGUAAUCGCGGAUCAGCAUGCCGCGGUGAAUACGUUCCCGGGCCUUGUACACACCGCCCGUCACACCACGAGAGUUUGUAACACCCGAAGUCGGUGAGGUAACCUUUUAGGAGCCAGCCGCCGAAGGUGGGACAGAUGAUUGGGGUGAAGUCGUAACAAGGUAGCC
rnacentral:rRNA from 1 species